rnacentral:rRNA from 1 species
GAUCCUGGCUCAGGACGAACGCUGGCGGCGUGCCUAACACAUGCAAGUCGAACGGAACUGUUUUGAAAGAUUUCUUCGGAAUGAAUUUGAUUUAGUUUAGUGGCGGACGGGUGAGUAACGCGUGAGUAACCUGCCUUCAAGAGGGGAUAACAUUCUGAAAAGAAUGCUAAUACCGCAUGAUAUAUCGGAACCACAUGGUUUUGAUAUCAAAGAUUUUAUCGCUUGAAGAUGGACUCGCGUCCGAUUUAG